UGAGGGCAGAAGAAUUCUGGCCAGAAGUCAAGAUCAUUUAUUUGAUGAUCCCAGAAGUCUCUAUGGGCAAGAAGAGCUCAUGGAGUCAUCAAGCUAAUGAACACCUGAACAUUUCAAUCCUCCAGAGUGUGAAAUAAUAAUGAUCAACUGGUGCCAUUUCAGCAGGAAAGAAUGAGCAGAUGGCAAAGAACUGAAGUUUCCCAUC